UUGUUGGGGUUGUAGGACACUCUAUACGGAGUUACAAAGGACGACAUUAGACGAAUCAUCUGGAAAGAUGAAUCAAAGAAGGUAAUAAUCCUGUAGUCGAAAAUGUUGUCUCUCUUGAGUGGAUCCUGAGUACGACGGAGCACGUGAAAUUCCGUCGGAAUCUGGGAGGACCAUCUCCUAAGGCUAAAUACUCUCUAGUGACCGAUAGUGAACCAGUACCGUGAGGGAAAGGUGAAAAGCACCCCGGAAGGGGAGUGAAAUAGAACCUGAAACCGUGUGCUUACAAGUAGUCAGAGCCCGUUAAUGGGUGAUGGCGUGCCUUUUGUAGAAUGAACCGGCGAGUUACGAUUUGAUGCAAGGUUAAGCAGUAAAUGUGGAGCCGUAGCGAAAGCGAGUCUGAAUAGGGCGUUUAGUAUUUGGUCGUAGACCCGAAACCAGGUGAUCUACCCUUGGUCAGGUUGAAGUUCAGGUAACACUGAAUGGAGGACCGAACCGACUUACGUUGAAAAGUGAGCGGAUGAACUGAGGGUAGCGGAGAAAUUCCAAUCGAACCUGGAGAUAGCUGGUUCUCUCCGAAAUAGCUUUAGGGCUAGCCUCAAGUGAUGAUUAUUGGAGGUAGAGCACUGUUUGGACGAGGGGCCCCUCUCGGGUUACCGAAUUCAGACAAACUCCGAAUGCCAAUUAAUUUAACUUGGGAGUCAGAACAUGGGUGAUAAGGUCCGUGUUCGAAAGGGAAACAGCCCAGACCACCAGCUAAGGUCCCAAAAUAUAUGUUAAGUGGAAAAGGAUGUGGCGUUGCCCAGACAACUAGGAUGUUGGCUUAGAAGCAGCCAUCAUUUAAAGAGUGCGUAAUAGCUCACUAGUCGAGUGACACUGCGCCGAAAAUGU
rnacentral:rRNA from 1 species